rnacentral:rRNA from 1 species
GACGAACGCUGGCGGCGUGCUUAACACAUGCAAGUCGAACGGUAAGGCCCUGCUUUUCUGGGUUUCUCUAGUGGCGAACGGGUGAGUAACACGUGAGUAACCUGCCCUUCACUUUGGGAUAACUUCAGGAAACUGGGGCUAAUACCGGAUAUGAGCUCCUGCUGCAUGGUGGGGGUUGGAAAGUUUCUGCGGUUGGGGAUGGACUCGCGGCUUAUCAGUUUGUUGGUGGGGUAGUGGCUUACCAAGGCGUUGACGGGUAGCCGGCCUGAGAGGGCGACCGGCCACACUGGGACUGAGACACGGCCCAGACUCCUACGGGAGGCAGCAGUGGGGAAUAUUGCACAAUGGGCGAAAGCCUGAUGCAGCAACGCCGCGUGAGGGAUGACGGCCUUCGGGUUGUAAACCGCUUUCGGCAGGGAAGAAGCGAGAGUGACGGUAACGGGAAAAGAAGCGCCGGCUAACUACGUG